GUGAGCCCUAUGAAGCUCGCGCUUUGUCUUCUUCUCCAUCUAAGCUUCCGCGCUCUCUUCUUCUUCUAAUCUUUGUCUACCUUCAAGGUCCCUGUCUGCAUCUGAGCAUCGUGUUCGUCGCACUCGAGCAUCGUCUUCGUCGUACUCGAGCAUCGUCACAAGUCUCUGCUUCUUCUCCUUCGCUACCAUACCUAGGUCGAACAUCGUGUUUGUCGCACUCGAGCAUCGUCAGAAGUCUGUGCUUCUUCUCCUUCGCCACCUCACGUAGGAUUAUAGGAAUGUUGAACGAAUAAUUUGGAUUACUGUUAUCUUGUCAGACAGUCGUCUCAUUAGCCGUAUCUUUUCCAAAAGAGAAAAACUUGAGGAAGUAUUUGGGUUCGUAAGCAUUGUUGGAUUAGGAGAACCUUUGUCUAAGGCCUAUAGACUUUGAAGAGUGAAGACUGAAGUUGUUUUGUCAGACUCAUUGAUUUUCCUUUCAUUUCGACAGAAGCCUAAGCAAUACACUGUCACUGAAUUGCCAAAAUUUGUUCAGUUCUGACUUGUUAGCUGUGACAAGGUAGCUGGCCUCUUCAUAAG